GAAAAAAGUCUGUACUUUAGUAAUUAUUCCAGAUAGAAGAGAGAGAUAGUAGAUUUAGUAAUGACAAUGAAAGCCUGAGAUGUUAGAUGAGAACCAGUGUCACCUGUUGUGACGAUGUAUGCUGUUUUCUCACCCAAAUCCAUGUUUCCAUUUCUUAUUUACAAACUAUUUAAAAACUUUUUUUAAAAAGAUCUUAUUUAUUUGAGAGAGAGAGAGAGAGAGCAUUAGUGGGAGGGAGGAGGAACAGGGAGAGGGAGAAGUACACACUCCAUGGAGCAAGGAGUUCAGUGGGGGGCUCUAUUCCCAGACUCCAAGAUCAUGACCUGAGUUGAAGGCAGACACGUAACUGACUGAGCCACCCAGGUGCCUCUACAAACCCUGAUUUUUAUUACAUGGCUAGAAUAUUGUAUUCCCUAUCCUCCCUGUAUAGCAAGGCUUGGCUCAGUUCUUGCCAGUAGGUGUAUGUAGAAGAAGUUGGAUGGAAGUUGUUGACAGAAUGAGAAGAUGCUCUGAAAGUGUACAGGCAGCUGGGAUGAAUCCUUUUUGUUUACCCUUUUUUCUUUUGUCUCCAGGAAGUUGGAAAUACAAUGAUGGCUGAAGCUUCAGCAGUCGUUUUAGACUAUGGAAUGCCCUCGAGGAUGGGUAAUAAUUGCUGGAAUGAUAGAAGAAAAUACAUUUCUCUUCUGUUGGGAAACUAGUUCUCAGCCACUUCAGAAGAUGGGCAUGUCAGCACCCAGCACGAAGGCAGGUAUGUGACUCCAAUAAAACCAAUCAGAACUCUUCCUUGUGUUAUAUACAGGGAGUGAGAGGCCUUCUAGUUCCUUUGGGAUUGCUACAGUAGGAUAAUGUAAGCUGGAAGCUGAAUAAAAACUGAUAAUGUAAACUUACAUUAUAUUAUUAAACUAUAGAGGCUUAAAAUAAAAUAAUUUUGUGUUUAAAAGGGAAAACAUUAAUUGUAUGAAAAUUUUCAGUUAUAAUUUCUCAGAGAGGCUGAAAAAUGAAGUACCAUUUUAAGGAUUUCUUUAAAAAAAUGACAUGGUAGUGAUAGUCAUGAUUCAGUAUUAGAUUUAUCUAAAACACAAAGGAGAAUAAUUUUUGACUGAUUA
rnacentral:lncRNA from 1 species